CCUACGGGAGGCAGCAGUGGGGAAUAUUGCACCAUGGGGGAAACCCUGAUGCAGCAACGCCGCGUGAAGGAAGACGGUUUUCGGAUUGUAAACCUCUGUUCUUAGUGAAGAAUAAUGACGGUAGCUAAUGAGCAAGCCACGGCUAACUACGUGCCAGCAGCCGCGGUAAUACGUGGGUGGCAAGCGGUGUCCGUAAUUACUGGGUGAAAGGGGUGCGGAGGCGGGAAGCCAAGUCAGUUGUAAAACCUGCGGGCUUAACUUGUAGACUGCAGUUGAAACUGGUUUUCUUGAGUGAGAUGGGGGGUGGCGGAAUUCCGGGUGUAGCGGUGAAAUGGGUAGAUAAUCGGAGGAAAACAGGUGGCGAAGGCGGCCAACUGGGCUUUAACUGACGCUGAGGCUCGAAAGUGUGGGGAGCAAACAGGAUUAGAUACCCAGUAGUC
rnacentral:rRNA from 1 species